GAUGAACGCUGGCGGCGUGCCUAAUACAUGCAAGUCGAGCGAACAGACGAGGAGCUUGCUCCUCUGACGUUAGCGGCGGACGGGUGAGUAACACGUGGAUAACCUACCUAUAAGACUGGGAUAACUUCGGGAAACCGGAGCUAAUACCGGAUAAUAUAUUGAACCGCAUGGUUCAAUAGUGAAAGACGGUUUUGCUGUCACUUAUAGAUGGAUCCGCGCCGCAUUAGCUAGUUGGUAAGGUAACGGCUUACCAAGGCAACGAUGCGUAGCCGACCUGAGAGGGUGAACGGCCACACUGGAACGGAGACGCGGUCCAGCCCCCAAGGGGAGGCAGGAGUGGGGAAUCUUCCGCAAUGGGGGAAAGCCUGAGGGAGCAACGCCGGGUGAGUGAUGAAGGUCUUCGGAUCGUAAAACUCUUUUAUUAGGGAAGAAAAAAUGUGUAAGUAACUAUGCCCGUCUUGACGGUACCUAAUCAGAAAGCCACGGCUAACUACGU
rnacentral:rRNA from 1 species